rnacentral:rRNA from 1 species
CCCGGUGACUGUAACGGCGGGGCCAUACCCGUUCCCAUUCCGAACACGGAAGUUAAGCCCGAUCGUGCUUGACCUUCCGAACCGCCGUAUACGGACCCGUACGUUCGGUGGGGUGACAGGGA